rnacentral:rRNA from 1 species
AUUGAACGCUGGCGGCAGGCCUAACACAUGCAAGUCGAACGAGUGGCGGACGGGAGAGUAAUGUCUGGGAACCUGCCUGAUGGAGGGGGAUAACUAAUGGAAACGGUAGCUAAUACCGCAUACCAUCGGAUGUGCCCAUAUGGGAUUAGCUAGUAGGUGAGGUAAAGGCUCACCUAGGCGACGAUCCCUAGCUGGUCUGAGAGGAUGACCAGGCACACUGGAACUGAGACACGGUCCAGACUCCUACGGGAGGCAGCAGUGGGGAAUAUUGGACAAUGGGCGAAAGCCUGAUGCAGCCAUGCCGCGUGUAUGAAGAAGGCCUUCGGGUUGUAAAGUCCUUUCAGCGGGGAGGCGUUACCCGCAGAAGAAGCACCGGCUAACUCCGUGCCAGCAGCCGCGGUAAUAC